rnacentral:rRNA from 1 species
CGGAUCGGAGUCUGCAACCCGACUCCGUGAAGCUGGAUUCGCUAGUAAUCGCGCAUCAGCCAUGGCGCGGUGAAUACGUUCCCGGGCCUUGUACACACCGCCCGUCAAGCCAUGGGAGCCGGGGGUGCUUGAAGUGCGUCGCCGCAAGGCGCGCCCUAGAGCAAAACCGGUGACUGGGGCUAAGUCGUAACAAGGUACC